UCUACUUGUUGAAUAAUGGUA
rnacentral:piRNA from 1 species